GAGUUUGAUCCUGGCUCAGAAUCAACGCUGGCGGCGUGCCUAACACAUGCAAGUCGAACGCGAAAGGGGCUUCGGCCCUGAGUAGAGUGGCGAACGGGUGAGUAACACGUGGGUGAUCUGCCUUCGAGUGGGGGAUAACGUUCCGAAAGGAGCGCUAAUACCGCAUGACGUUCCGGGUUUAAAGACCUGGAAACCAAAGCCGGGGACCGCAAGGCCUGGCGCUUGAAGAGGAGCCCGCGUCCGAUUAGCUAGUUGGCGGGGUAAUGGCCCACCAAGGCGACGAUCGGUAGCCGGCCUGAGAGGGCGGACGGCCACACUGGAACUGAGACACGGUCCAGACUCCUACGGGAGGCAGCAGUGGGGAAUUGUUCACAAUGGGCGCAAGCCUGAUGACGCAACGCCGCGUGGGGGAUGAAGGUCUUCGGAUUGUAAACCCCUGUCGAACGGGACGAACGGCCCCUGGGCUAAUCACCAGGGGAGUGACGGUACCGUAAAGGAA
rnacentral:rRNA from 1 species